rnacentral:rRNA from 1 species
GACGAACGCUGGCGGCGUGCUUAACACAUGCAAGUCGAACGGAAAGGCCCUGCUUUUGUGGGGUGCUCGAGUGGCGAACGGGUGAGUAACACGUGAGUAACCUGCCCUUGACUUUGGGAUAACUUCAGGAAACUGGGGCUAAUACCGGAUAGAAGCUCCUGCUGCAUGGUGGGGGUUGGAAAGUUUCGGCGGUUGGGGAUGGACUCGCGGCUUAUCAGCUUGUUGGUGGGGUAGUGGCUUACCAAGGCUUUGACGGGUAGCCGGCCUGAGAGGGUGACCGGCGACAUUGGGACUGAGAUACGGCCCAGACUCCUACGGGAGGCAGCAGUGGGGAAUAUUGCACAAUGGGCGGAAGCCUGAUGCAGCAACGCCGCGUGCGGGAUGACGGCCUUCGGGUUGUAAACCGCUUUCGCCUGUGACGAAGCGUGAGUGACGGUAAUGGGUAAAGAAGCACCGGCUAACUACGUG